AUUGAACGCUGGCGGCAGGCCUAACACAUGCAAGUCGAACGGUAGCAGGAAGAAGCUUGCUUCUUUGCUGACGAGUGGCGGACGGGUGAGUAAUGUCUGGGAAACUGCCUGAUGGAGGGGGAUAACAACUGGAAACGGUAGCUAAUACCGCAUAACGUCGCAAGACCAAAGAGGGGGACCUUCGGGCCUCUUGCCAUCAGAUGUGCCCAGAUGGGAUUAGCUAGUAGGUGGGGUAACGGCUCACCUAGGCGACGAUCCCUAGCUGGGCUGAGGGGAUGAGCAGCCACACUGGAACUGAGACACGGUCCAGACUCCUACGGGAGGCAGCAGUGGGGAAUAUUGCACAAUGGGCGCAAGCCUGAUGCAGCCAUGCCGCGUGUGUGAAGAAGGCCUUCGGGUUGUAAAGCACUUUCAGCGGGGAGGAAGGGGGAAUGGUUAAUAACCAUUGCCAUUGACGUUACCCGCAGAAGAAGCACCGGCUAACUCCGUGCCAGCCGCCGCGGUAA
rnacentral:rRNA from 1 species